UACGUAGGGGGCAAGCGUUGUCCGGAUUUAUUGGGCGUAAAGCGCGUGUAGGCGGCCAGAUAGGUCUGCUGUGAAAACUCGAGGCUCAACCUCGAGCUGUCGGCGGAAACCAUCUGGCUAGAGUCCGGAAGAGGAGAGUGGAAUUCCUGGUGUAGCGGUGAAAUGCGCAGAUAUCAGGAAGAACACCUAUGGCGAAGGCAGCUCUCUGGGACGGUACUGCGCUGAGACGCGAAAGCGUGGGGAGCGAACAGG
rnacentral:rRNA from 1 species